CUUCUCUCUCAAACUCUCUAGUGUAGCAAGAAAGCAACAAAUUUUUGGAAUUCAUUUUAUUCUUGGAUUUUCUUCUUAGAAGGAUAAACCGUUUGUUCGUUCUCUUGGAUUGUUCCAAUCUUUACUCGUACGUUCUUACAAGAAAUCGCAACGCAAUCAACGUUGAAGAUGAUGAUUGCUAUGAAAUGAAGUAGCGAUGAUACCUAGAAACACAUUUAGACGUGUUAGGUUUAAUAUGAUUUGAUGUUUUUAUGUUUGAACAUGUUGUAUUUGGAUUUUAUGUAAUGUUUGACAAUUUGAAAUUCAUGAAAUGAAAUGGGUUUAUUUAAA